rfam:TPA: Bos taurus chromosome 9, whole genome shotgun sequence.
UCCCAGGGGGCUCAGUGGGUAAAAGAACCUGCCUGCAAUGCAGGAGAUAUGGGUUUGAUUCCUGUGUUGGGAA